rnacentral:rRNA from 1 species
ACAGGGAUUGCCUCAGUAACGGCGAGUGAAGCGGCAACAGCUCAAAUUUGAAAUCUGGCCGCAAGGUCCGAGUUGUAAUUUGCAGAGGAUGCUUUUGGCGAGGUGCCUUCCGAGUUCCCUGGAACGGGACGCCAUAGAGGGUGAGAGCCCCGUACGGUUGGACCACCGAGCCUCUGUAAAGCUCCUUCGACGAGUCGAGUAGUUUGGGAAUGCUGCUCUAAAUGGGAGGUGUACGUCUUCUAAAGCUAAAUACCGGCCAGAGACCGAUAGCGCACAAGUAGAGUGAUCGAAAGAUGAAAAGCACUUUGAAAAGAGGGUUAAAAAGUACGUGAAAUUGUUGAAAGGGAAGCGUUUAUGACCAGACUUGGGCUUGGUUGAACAUCCGGCGUUCUCGCCGGUGCACUCUGCCAGUCCAGGCCAGCAUCAGUUUGUCCCGGGGGAUAAAGGCGGUGGGAAUGUGGCUCCCCCGGGAGUGUUAUAGCCCGCCGUGCAAUGCCCUGGGACGGACUGAGGAACGCGCUUCGGCACGGAUGCUGGCGUAAUGGUCAUCAACGACCCGUCUUGAACACGGACCAAGGAGUCGUCUUCGUAUGCGAGUGU